rnacentral:hammerhead_ribozyme from 1 species
AUCUAGCUGACGAAUUUCAAAUAGAACGAAAAACGCAUCCUACAU